rnacentral:rRNA from 1 species
AACGAACGCUGGCGGCGCGUCUUAAACAUGCGAGUCGAACGGCAGGAAGGGGCUUGCCCCUUCUGAGAGUGGCGGACUGGUGAGUAACACGUGGGUGACAUACCUUUUAGUUGGGGAUAGCUAUUAGAAAUAGUAGGUAAUACCGAAUGUGACCGUACCUGUUAGAGGGGUACGAGGAAAGGAGCUAAGGCUUCGCUAAAAGAAUGGCUCGCGGCCCAUUAUGCUCGUUGGUGAGGUAACGGCCCACCAAGGCGAUGAUGGGUAUCCGGCCUGAGAGGGUGAACGGACACAUUGGGACUGAGAUACGGCCCAGACUCCUACGGGAGGCAGCAGUUAAGAAUAUUCCGCAAUGGACGAAAGUCUGACGGAGCGACGCCGCGUGGAUGAAGAAUGCCGAAAGGUUGUAAAAUCCUUUUAAGCCUGAUGAAUAAGCACAGUAGGGAAUGAUUGUGCGGUGACCGUAGGGCUUGAAUAAGCACCGGCUAAUUACGUG